UACAGAGGUCCCAAGCGUUGUUCGGAUUCACUGGGCGUAAAGCGCGCGUAGGCGGCUUUUCAAGUCGAUUGUGAAAUCCCCGGGCUUAACCUGGGAACUGCAGUCGAGACUGUCUAGCUAGAGUAUGGGAGAGGGAAGUGGAAUUUCAGGUGUAGCGGUGAAAUGCGUAGAUAUCUGAAGGAACAUCAGUGGCGAAAGCGACUUCCUGGACCAAUACUGACGCCCAUGUGCGAAAGCGUGGGGAGCAAACAGG
rnacentral:rRNA from 1 species